rnacentral:rRNA from 1 species
GUCCACGGCCAUACCACACUGAAUGCACCCAAUCUUGUCUGAUCUUGGAAGCUAAGCAGGGUUGGGCCUGGUUAGUACUUGGGUGGGAGACAUACAAUUAUUUCAAGUAAAAUAGACU